UUAUGUCGUUGAUGAUAAUAAUUCCUCCACGACUCAGCAACAAGAGCUACUCUGGGUGAUGAGCUUAAUGGUGCUGUUGCGGCUAUUUUAAUUUUUCAACAAGGAUCCAAAUGGCGCCGUUGACGAAAUUCUUUCAUUAUAAACGUCAACGAUCAACAUCAGCCAUCAGGGAACGAAGAAGUUGACUGUAUGGUGGAUGUAUCUAAUGGUGUUGUAGUUGACUGUAUGUUGUUCAAUAUUGCUAUGAAACUCUUCUGAUUCAUUGUCACUUAUACGAAGGAUGGAAGUAUACGAAAUUGAUAAAAUUAUUAAUAAUAUUUACGAAGAGAAAGUAAACUGUUGGAUAUAUGACAAAAUAAUUCUAUUUUAAAUAA